rnacentral:rRNA from 1 species
AACGAACGCUGGCGGCGCGCCUAACACAUGCAAGUCGAACGAGAAGGCGUAGCAAUACGCUUGUAGAGUGGCGAACGGGUGAGUAAUACGUGGGUGACCUACCCUCGAGUGGGGAAUAACCCGCCGAAAGGCGGGCUAAUGCCGCGUACGCUUCCGUCCUCACGGGGACGGAAGGAAAGCUGUACCGUGGGUACGGCGCUCAAGGAUGGGCUCGCGUCCUAUCAGCUUGUUGGUA